GUGCCAGCAGCCGCGGUAAUACGAAGGUGGCAAGCGUUAUUCGAAAUCACUGGGCUUAAAGGGCGCGUAGGCGGGAACGAAAGUGUCUUGUGAAAUCCCUCGGCUUAACCGAGGAAUUGCUGGGCAAACUACGUUUCUUGAGGCAAGCAGGGGUGUGUGGAACUCUUAGUGGAGCGGUGGAAUGCGUAGAUAUUAAGAGGAACGCCGAAGGUGAAAACAGCACACUGGGCUUGUACUGACGCUGAGGCGCGAAAGCGUGGGGAGCAAACAGGAUUAGAAACCCCAGUAGUCC
rnacentral:rRNA from 1 species